GACGAACGCUGGCGGCGUGCUUAACACAUGCAAGUCGAACGAGUGGCGAACGGGUGAGUAAUACGUGAGUAACCUGCCCUCUUUUUGGGAUAAGCCUUGGAAACGGGGUCUAAUACCGAAUAAAGGGGGAUGGGCUCGCGGGCUAUCAGCUUGUUGGUGGGGUGAUGGCCUACCAAGGGGGUGACGGGUGGCCGGCCUGAGAGGGUGACCGGCCAAAUUGGGAAUGGGAUACGGCCCAGACUGCUACGGGAGGGAGCAGUGGGGGAUAUUGCACAAUGGGCGAAAGCCUGAUGCAGCGACGCCGCGUGGGGGAUGGAGGCUUUUGGGUUGGUAACCUCUUUCGCUAUCGAAAGGGUAGGUGGAGAAGAAGCGCCGGCUAACUACGUGCCAGCCGCCGCGGUAAUUC
rnacentral:rRNA from 1 species